UACGGAGGGUGCAAGCGUUACUCGGAAUUACUGGGCGUAAAGGGUGCGCAGGCGGCGUCGCAAGUCAGGCGUGAAAUCCCCGGGCUUAACCUGGGAACUGCACUUGAAACUACGAUGCUGGAGUAUGGCAGAGGGAGGUGGAAUUCCACGUGUAGCGGUGAAAUGCGUAGAGAUGUGGAGGAACACCGAUGGCGAAGGCAGCCUCCUGGGCCAAUACUGACGCUCAUGCACGAAAGCGUGGGGAGCAAACAGG
rnacentral:rRNA from 1 species